rnacentral:rRNA from 1 species
UUGGAAACUGGUUAACUUGAGUGCAGUAGAGGUAAGUGGAACUCCAUGUGUAGCGGUGGAAUGCGUAGAUAUAUGGAAGAACACCAGUGGCGAAGGCGGCUUACUGGACUGUAACUGACGUUGAGGCUCGAAAGUGUGGGUAGCAAACAGGAUUAGAUACCCUGGUAGUCCACACCGUAAACGAUGAACGCUAGGUGUUAGGAGGUUUCCGCCUCUUAGUGCCGAAGCUAACGCAUUAAGUGUUCCGCCUGGGGAGUACGACCGCAAGGUUGAAACUCAAAGGAAUUGACGGGGACCCGCACAAGCGG